GGGUGUUGCUCCCUCUAUCACCACUCUUUUUCCCUUCAUUUUUUUCACAAAAUUUUUAAUGAUAAAAUUACCUUUUAAUCUUGAAUCAUUUUACUUUUAAUCUUAAAUCAUUUUUCACUUUCACUCUCGCGUACCCCUACCCCCCAACUCUCUCUCACUCUUUCUCUCUUUGAGAUUCGUUUCUUCCCACCUCCGUCUCACUCUCUUCUCUCUUUCGGUGAUAUCCGUUUCUUCUCACCCCAACUCUCCCUUGCUCUCCGUUCGUGGUGGUGUAGCUGUUCGUAUUGUUCGUGGUGCGGAGGUGUGGCGGUGGGUAUGGUGGUGGUUCGUUGGUAGUGACUGGUGCGUGCAGAUCUUCGUUGGUCUACCCUCAGCAAUAUCAAUUAGGUGUCCAAUCAAGCUAUUCACAAAAGUUUCCUCUCCAACGAGUUCUUCGGUGAAGUGAAGGACGCGUGCGGCAAGGAUCUCGCGCACUUCGUCGUUGCGUUCGACAACUGUUGCAGAGCUCGUCCUGAGUGGCGGCGAGGCCCGCGGGUGCCAGCGAGGCAUUGGUUGUCGGCGAUGAAGAUCUGGAGCUUGUGAUGACAUCGACACUUUCCUCAAUGGGAGAAGCAUUGCAGAGUUUAUAAUCAAAGCUGUGAACUUUUGAGCACUUAUAAAAUAUGAGAAUACUGCAUUAAAGGCUAAUUGUGGUGCACAAAUCAGUGAGUAUGUAUAAGCCGGGAGGUACAACAGUCCAGUGGAGUACAUCUCCUAGACUAAAAUAUAUUAAAAUAAUAACUUUGAUGGGAGGUGAAACAAAAGUGAAGGCCUCUAAGGAGUGAGUAUUCCCAUUGCGUGCGUUGCAAAGGAGAUGGAGGGAGAAGUGAGAGUGGAGGGAGAAGUGAGAGUGAGGAAUGAUUUAAGAUUAAAAGUAAAAUGGUUAAAAAUUAAAGGAUAAUUUUAUCAUUAAAAAUUUUGUAGGGAGGUAGAGGAAGAAAGGAUGGUGGUGGAGGGAGCAACACCCA